UUUCAUUAUUUAAAAAUUUUUUUGAUAUAUGAUGUUUUAAUUUUAUGUGUUUUAUAUUUGAAUCUUUAAAACUAAUUUAAUUUUUUUUCAUUUUAAACAAGAAGUUUAUUUAAACAACAAGACGCUUGACUUGAAGGGAAAACUAACUAGGAUUCAUUUCUUUUAGAGUACUUUAUCCUUACUUAAAGACAGAUUGACCUAUAUGUAAAACCAAUUGUCCUUGGUUUUACAAUGAUAAAUGAAAAACAUUAAAAUUCUCCAAUCAAACAAGGUAUGCAAGGAUUUUUAUGUUGUUAUUUUUUUGUUAAACAGUGAGAGCAAAAUAACUUACUGGAAUAUAAACAUAAGAGCUGAAUGAGCAUACCACUAAUGGAGAAAGGGGGUAUUUUCACAGAACCAGUAUUUUUCCCCAUCCCAUCUCCAUUUGAUGUUGAUCAAAACAUACCAUUGGCCAUUUAGUUAAAAAAAAUGCAAAAUGCUUGUGCACCUACACAGUUACUUUAUGUACAAUAAAUAAGGGCAUGGGGAAGGGGAAAAUGAAAGAAUAGAGAAAACUAUACUGUAAUAGUCAGGAUGUGGUGGAACCAAAUUGCGGUUUUCUAAUUGAGAAUGUCUUCUUGGUCUGGAGGAACAGAGUUCUGGAGUAAAGUAGCAAGUUCCCUUUUUAGUAAACACCUCCUGUCUGCUGCUGGAACACAUCAAUUGUAUCUUCAUCCUCCAUCUCCAACUGUGCAGGUGUGUCUGUUUCAUUGAUUGGCUGCCCAUCAAAUCGGAAUCUGAUCUGCCUCAUUGACAAACACUGUUGUUCACACUAGGCUUUCAUUAGUUUACUAAGUGGUGUAUGCCUCUUAAUCUUAAACUGCACCACUCAUCUGUAAGGGUUUUUGAUUCUUACAGUGUUUUCUUUGGCUCACCCAUGUCUCUGGCUGUAAUCAAGCUUCAGAAGCCAUGUAGUGACACUACUUUAAGUCUGUCAUGGGGAAGGAUCCUCCUGAAGGGAAGAGGAACAUUUUGCUGUAUUAUGUGGGCUGCUCAUUUAAGCCCAUGAUAGCCUGGCACCUGUGUCCUAGUGAAACAAUUCAAUGCGCUUGUGAGUGGGCAGAGAGCCAGUCUAGCAGAUGGUCAUGAGAGAAGGGACCAUGUACCGUGUGAUCAUCAAGUGUGCUUGCCCAGGGCGGGAGUCCCUGCCAGAAAGGUCCAAAUGUCUGCCCUUAGAACUGGAGUCUUAUUUUUGUAAGAAUGCCUAAAAUAGAAAAAAAAAUGUCUGGAAAAGAACUUAACAAAAACAUUUUUUUUUUUUUUUAAUUUGAGCUGGAAACAUAGAAGAGAACUGAGCUGUGUUAAGAGAGACCUUUUGGAAGUUGAAGUGCUUGGUCAUAAGGUACUUACUGUGGAGCUUUUUUUCCUGGGUUAACAAUAGCUCACUAUGAAAUUAGAGAAUGUGGAUAUUCACUGUGCUUGCAUAGAAGUUGUAUCCCAGGCUCAUAGCUUUACCAAUGGGAUGGUUCUGGAAACAUCUGAGGCAAGAGGAGGCCAGAGUCUGUGGCUUACCUGUCUGGAAAUAGGAGUUAGCAGGCAGUUAGGCUGGAAUACAGAAGCCCCCUAGUUUAGAUCGGCCUAAUCCUCUUUCCAGAAAGACAUGUAACAUGAGCCCCAUAUAACGUUUUUGGUUGUCAAACACCCAUGAUAUUGUAGGCACUACCAAUGAAUUUUUCUUUUUUAAAAAUGUUUAUCCUCAUUCAGUUUUCAGUAAAUGUUCAUGUAUUCAUUUUUUCAGAAAUUACUUAUUAUCUUCUCUCACACUGGAAGAGAAUAUGCCUCAUGGUAGUGGAGGUAUAUAGAGAUUUAAAAUCCUGUCUCAAAUUCAAAGGCUCUUUUCAUUUCAUAAGGAAGUAAAAUUAUAUAGAGGUAAAUAUGAAGCAGGAUGUGAAAGGCUAUAAGAAAGGUAGAACAAAAUAAUAUGGAGAGUAAGGGAGAAACAGAGGAAUGGGUUCUUUGUACCCUAUUAGCUUCAGCCAUGCCUGUAGGAAUACGUAGUGUUUAUAACA
rnacentral:lncRNA from 1 species